UACGUAGGGUGCAAGCGUUGUUCGGAAUCACUGGGCGUAAAGCGCACGUAGGCGGGUCUUUAAGUCAGGGGUGAAAUCCUGGAGCUCAACUCCAGAACUGCCUUUGAUACUGAGGAUCUUGAGUCCGGGAGAGGUGAGUGGAACUGCGAGUGUAGAGGUGAAAUUCGUAGAUAUUCGCAAGAACACCAGUGGCGAAGGCGGCUCACUGGCCCGGUACUGACGCUGAGGUGCGAAAGCGUGGGGAGCAAACAGG
rnacentral:rRNA from 1 species